GACGAACGCUGGCGGCGUGCUUAACACAUGCAAGUCGAACGGAAAGGCUCUGCUUUUGUGGGGUGCCCGAGUGGCGAACGGGUGAGUAACACGUGAGUAACCUGCCCUUGACCUUGGGAUAACUUCAGGAAACUGGGGCUAAUACCGGAUAGGAGCUCCUGCUGCAUGGUGGGGGUUGGAAAGUUUCGGCGGUUGGGGAUGGACUCGCGGCUUAUCAGCCUGUUGGUGGGGUAGUGGCUUACCAAGGCUUUGACGGGUAGCCGGCCUGAGAGGGUGACCGGCCACAUUGGGACUGAGGUACGGCCCAGACUCCUACGGGAGGCAGCGGUGGGGAAUAUUGCACAAUGGGCGGAAGCCUGAUGCAGCAACGCCGCGUGCGGGAUGACGGCCUUCGGGUUGUAAACCGCUUUCGCCUGUGACGAAGCGUGAGUGACGGUAAUGGGUAAAGAAGCACCGGCUAACUACGUG
rnacentral:rRNA from 1 species